rnacentral:rRNA from 1 species
AGCGAACGCUGGCGGCAGGCCUAACACAUGCAAGUCGAACGAACUCUUCGGAGUUAGUGGCGGACGGGUGAGUAACACGUGGGAACGUGCCUUUAGGUUCGGAAUAACUCAGGGAAACUUGUGCUAAUACCGAAUGUGCCCUUCGGGGGAAAGAUUUAUCGCCUUUAGAGCGGCCCGCGUCUGAUUAGCUAGUUGGUGAGGUAAAGGCUCACCAAGGCGACGAUCAGUAGCUGGUCUGAGAGGAUGAUCAGCCACAUUGGGACUGAGACACGGCCCAAACUCCUACGGGAGGCAGCAGUGGGGAAUCUUGCGCAAUGGGCGAAAGCCUGACGCAGCCAUGCCGCGUGAAUGAUGAAGGUCUUAGGAUUGUAAAAUUCUUUCACCGGGGACGAUAAUGACGAUACCCGGAGAAGAAGCCCCGGCUAACUUCGUG